UACGUAGGGAGCAAGCGUUGUCCGGAAUUACUGGGCGUAAAGAGCUCGUAGGUGGUUUGUCGCGUUGUUCGUGAAAACUCACAGCUCAACUGUGGGCGUGCGGGCGAUACGGGCAGACUAGAGUACUGCAGGGGAGACUGGAAUUCCUGGUGUAGCGGUGGAAUGCGCAGAUAUCAGGAGGAACACCGGUGGCGAAGGCGGGUCUCUGGGCAGUAACUGACGCUGGAGGAGCGAAAGCCGUGGGGAGCGAACAGG
rnacentral:rRNA from 1 species